GUUGUCGGAUUCACCUCAAUCCACAUGUGUUGGAGUGAAUUGGGGUGUAAUUUAGUUUAAGUUCCACCCCAAUACAUGUGGAUUAAUGUGAAUCCGACU
rfam:Sorghum bicolor cultivar BTx623 chromosome 4, whole genome shotgun sequence.